rnacentral:lncRNA from 10 species
UGUAAAUCUAGAUUUCUUGAGAGUGAAUUUUAGAUACUUUAAUAACAAAAAAACCCUACAACUACAAAAUAUUGUAACAAUUUAAGUUAUUGGAAUUACAUAUGAAUUAUUUAAAACUAUCAAGUGUGUUAAAAACUUCAAUUACAUUAGAAAGCUACUGUGCUAUUUAUUUACAACACGUAAGUAUGACACUGUUCUAUAUCAUAAAUCAGACCUAAAAUGUAUAUGUUAGCUAUCAAAUCAAACGUUUAACAAUAUUUUUCUUGCUCUUUCAGAGUGUAAAUGAGUCUUUUGCAUGAUUUGGGUAAUUUAAAUCACAUUGAAAAGCUUCCCAGUUAAGAUUAAAUGACUAUUUUUUUCCUUUGUUGAAUUUCUCUGUAGAAAGCAAAAUAAUUCAAAAAUCACUCCAAACAGAAACAGCCUGCAAUUCUCAACUGUUUCCACAGAUGGAGAACUCAUGCACGAGUAAGCAGUCAAAGAUAACCUAUCAUUCUACUUGAGGAUAAAACUGCUUGGAAGAAAAAUUGUAUUUUCAAACUCUCAGUAUAUGCAGGUAUGGAUGGCCAUGGGCCACUUUUUAGUCAAUGGGAUACGUGCCAAUGUACUAUGUACAACUUCUGGGACUUACUCCUCAAAGGUGAGGGUGAAUUCUGCAUUCUCCCCUUCCUGCUUUCUGAUGGCUCCAUGCAGACCUAUCUGUAUACCAGCAGCCACUUGGGACCAUGAGAAAACUUGGGAAUGAAAGCCACAAACAGGAGAGUAACAGGACAGGAGAGAAGCCUGAGCUCUGGACCUGGUGAGGCACCACACAAUUCCUACUAUACCUUGUUAGACCUGAGAGAAAAAUAAAUUUUGAUCUUGUUAUUUGGGGUAUUCUGUUGUUAUUACUACUCCAAGACAAAUAUAACCCCAACUGACACUGUGUUCUUUCUUCGUGCACCAGGUAUACUGGGCUUAAGUUUUACACAUAACUUACUAC